GAUGAACGCUGGCGGCGUGCCUAAUACAUGCAAGUCGAGCGAACGGACGAGAAGCUUGCUUUUCUGAUGUUAGCGGCGGACGGGUGAGUAACACGUGGAUAACCUUCCUAUAAGACUGGGAUAACUUCGGGAAACCGGAGCUAAUACCGGAUAAUAUUUUGAACCGCAUGGUUCAAAAGUGAAAGACGGUCUUGCUGUCACUUAUAGAUGGAUCCGCGCUGCAUUAGCUAGUUGGUAAGGUAACGGCUUACCAAGGCAACGAUGCAUAGCCGACCUGAGAGGGUGAUCGGCCACACUGGAACUGAGACACGGUCCAGACUCCUACGGGAGGCAGCAGUAGGGAAUCUUCCGCAAUGGGCGAAAGCCUGACGGAGCAACGCCGCGUGAGUGAUGAAGGUCUUCGGUUCGUAAAACUCUGUUAUUAGGGAAGAACAUAUGUGUAAGUAACUGUGCACAUCUUGACGGUACCUAAUCAGAAAGCCACGGCUAACUACGUG
rnacentral:rRNA from 1 species